rnacentral:tRNA from 1 species
GAGGGUAUAUCUCAAGGGGUAGAGCACAUGUUUAGCACACACAAGGUCCUGGGUUCAAUGCCCAGUACCUCCU